GACGAACGCUGGCGGCGUGCUUAACACAUGCAAGUCGAACGGUGACGGGGAGCUUGCUCCCCUGAUCAGUGGCGAACGGUGAGUAACACGUGGGCAAUCUGCCCUGACUUCGGGAUAACGCUUCGAAAGAGGUGCUAAUACCGGAUAUGAACCUCGCAGGCAUCUGCGAGGUUGGAAAGUUUCUCGGUCAGGGAUGAGCCCGCGGCCUAUCAGCUAGUUGGUGAGGUAAUGGCUCACCAAGGCGACGACGGGUAGCCGGCCUGAGAGGGCGACCGGCCACACUGGGACUGAGACACGGCCCAGACUCCUACGGGAGGCAGCAGUGGGGAA
rnacentral:rRNA from 1 species